UUAUGCGCUGCGGCGCCGGCCUCCAAGGUACAACUCGCGCUGCGGCGCCAAGCAUGAAACCUAGAAAAUUUUUCGAGGUCAUUCCAAAGCCAGUUUCUUCCUUAUCUUAUGUACUUCGACUAGCCUCAAAUAGAACUUUGUUCUAAAUCCAUUAACAUGCCAUUCAAUUGUCUUAAUCUUCAUUCUUCGUUCAUUUUAACAGUUUUAACGUUCUUUGUUCGUUCGUCCGUAAUUCGGGCAUCCAAACUCGGAAUUCGUUCGUUCUUGAGUCCACGACUCACAUUUCAUACGUUCUCUUACAUUCUUAUGAAACCCUACACGUUCGGGUUCAUUUACUAACUUUCAAAUUCUCGUUCAUCUUUUACGAAAAUUUUGCCAUAAUUUCGUUAUAGCUCAAUUUUAAUCCGUUCUUCAUGAACGUUUCUAACGUUCAUAACCAAGCAAUAAGCAACUAACUUAUACGCGAUGGUUUUAAACUUGUCCAUCAAUAACAAUUACACUACGAUGGUUUUAAAUUUGUCCAUCAACAACCUUCUUCGUGUUCUUCGUUCGUUCUUCAUUUUUAAUCGAUAUUUUGGAUUACGGUUUCACUUUUUCUUGGAAUUUGAUGUUAUAGAACACCAUUCCUUACUUAAUUCACCUACUCGUUCAUAAUAUUCAUUCGGAUUGCUCAAAAUCCUCACGAAUCAUAUACUUGC
rnacentral:lncRNA from 1 species